CUUUACGUCCGUGAAACACAAGCUGCAGCUCCCCUGGAAGAACACGCUCCUCAGCUUCCUGCCUCAUUGCAAAGAAAACUGCCCUUGUGUGCAUAGCCCUCACCACCAGGGCCAGCAAAUGAGAACAGCUUGGAAAAACAGCGAGAUGCUUGCAAUAGUUUGUUUGGUGUCUCAGAAAAUAAAAUCCAUCUUUCUUCACCAGAUGAGAGUCAUCGCUUUCAGAUGAUUUUGGAAGAGGAGUCAUUCCCUACAUUGAAUCUGGAAGGCUGGCUGGGUUUCCAGGACUGUGUUUUCAUGGACAUGAAGAAGAAUUUUACGAGAAAAACAAUUGCAGAGGGCUUGAUUUCUAUAGGAUUUUUAUCUCCUGCAGAUUCUUCCAGCUGGACCCUUCUUCCAGAUGUUUGUGAGACCUAUUUAAUCAGAUUCUCCAGGGAUGGGGCUCUGGCAUUCACUUUCGCAAGGUUUACAGGUGUCUCGACACAGCUUAGAGGGAAGAAAAGCUGGAGAAAAUGUUUGCAAUGUAAAAAAACUGGCAAGAGACUCGUAACAACAAGUACUAUCUAACAGAACUUUCUACAGUGCGGAAAGUGUUCUCUAUCUGCAUCGUCCGGGACAGCAGCCACUAGCCGUAUGUGGCUAGGAAGACUGAAGAAUGCAUUUUUAAUUAAUUUAAUUAAUGUAAAUUUAAUAGGUUAGUGGCUACCAUAUUGAAAAGCGCAGACAGAGACUUUUAAUAAACCUGUAUCUACCUCAACUUAGGGAUCCUAUCGAAGUGCGGGUUCUGUUUCUGACACGCUCCUGGGUGCAGCUGCUGCUUCUGGACCAGAG
rnacentral:lncRNA from 10 species